CCUACGGGAGGCAGCAGUGGGGAAUAUUGGACAAUGGGCGAAAGCCUGAUCCAGCCAUGCCGCGUGUGUGAAGAAGGUCUUCGGAUUGUAAAGCACUUUAAGUUGGGAGGAAGGGUUGUAGAUUAAUACUCUGCAAUUUUGACGUUACCGACAGAAUAAGCACCGGCUAACUCUGUGCCAGCAGCCGCGGUAAUACAGAGGGUGCAAGCGUUAAUCGGAAUUACUGGGCGUAAAGCGCGCGUAGGGGGGUUGGGAAGGGGGAGGGGAACGAAAACUGCUCAACCUGGGAACUGCGUUCAAAACUGACUGACUAGAGUAUGGUAGAGGGUGGUGGAAUUUCCUGUGUAGCGGUGAAAUGCGUAGAUAUAGGAAGGAACACCAGUGGCGAAGGCGACCACCUGGACUAAUACUGACACUGAGGUGCGAAAGCGUGGGGAGCAAACAGGAUUAGAUACCCGAGUAGUC
rnacentral:rRNA from 1 species